rnacentral:tRNA from 1 species
UGUAAUGUAGUUUAUUAAAAAUGUUUAUUUUACACGUAAGAGAACUCGUUUGGAGCUUUACUA